AUUGAACGCUGGCGGCAGGCUUAACACAUGCAAGUCGAACGAGUGGCGGACGGGUGAGUAAUGCUUGGGAAUCUAGCUUAUGGAGGGGGAUAACUACGGGAAACUGUAGCUAAUACCGCGUACCAUAGGAUGAGCCCAAGUGGGAUUAGGUAGUUGGUGAGGUAAAGGCUCACCAAGCCGACGAUCUCUAGCUGGUCUGAGAGGAUGACCAGCCCAACUGGGACUGAGACACGGCCCAGACUCCGAAGGGAGGCAGCAGUGGGUAAUAUUGCGCAAUGGGCGCAAGCCUGAUACAUCCAUGCCGCGUGUAUGAAUAAGGCCUUCGGGUUGUAAAGUACUUGCAGUCGGGAGGCGUUACAGACAGAAGAAGCACCGGCUAACUCCGUGCCAGCAGCCGCGGUAAUAC
rnacentral:rRNA from 1 species